CAUCAGAAUAUGACGAAAGGUUUAGCGGUGAAGGAUGGGGAUGCGUCUGAUUAGCUUGUUGGCGAGGUAACGGCUCACCAAGGCGACGAUCAGUAGGGGUUCUGAGAGGAAGGUCCCCCACAUUGGAACUGAGACACGGUCCAAACUCCUACGGGAGGCAGCAGUGAGGAAUAUUGGUCAAUGGGCGAGAGCCUGAACCAGCCAAGUAGCGUGCAGGACGACGGCCCUAUGGGUUGUAAACUGCUUUUAUAUGGGGAUAAAGUGAGUUACGUGUAGCUUAUUGCAGGUACCAUAUGAAUAAGGACCGGCUAAUUCCGUGCCAGCAGCCGCGGUAAUACGGAAGGUCCAGGCGUUAUCCGGAUUUAUUGGGUUUAAAGGGAGCGUAGGCCGCCCCUUAAGCGUGUUGUGAAAUGCCGCGGCUCAACCGUGGCACUGCAGCGCGAACUGGGGGGCUUGAGUGCACGCAACGCAGGCGGAAUUCGUGGUGUAGCGGUGAAAUGCUUAGAUAUCACGAAGAACUCCGAUUGCGAAGGCAGCUUGCGGGAGUGCGACUGACGCUGAAGCUCGAAGGUGCGGGUAUCGAACAGGAUUAGAUACCCUGGUAGUCCGCACAGUAAACGAUGGAUGCCCGCUGUGUGCCCUAGAGGUACGCGGCCAAG
rnacentral:rRNA from 1 species